rnacentral:rRNA from 1 species
AUACGUAGGGGGCGAGCGUUGUCCGGAAUGAUUGGGCGUAAAGGGCGCGUAGGCGGCUUUGCAAGUCAGUAGUGGAAGUCCAUUUUUCAAGGAUGGAAGUGCUACAGAAACUGCGGAGCUUGAGUGCGGGAGAGGUUAUCGGAAUUCCCGGUGUAGCGGUGAAAUGCGUAGAGAUCGGGAGGAACACCAGUGGCGAAGGCGGGUAACUGGACUGCAACUGACGCUGAGGCGCGAAAGUGUGGGGAGCAAACAGGAUUAGAUACCCUGGUAGUCCACGCUGUAAACGAUGAUUACUAGGUGUUGGGGACCAAAGGUCCUCGGUGCCGCCGCAAACGCAUUAAGUAAUCCACCUGGGGAGUACGUUCGCAAGAAUGAAACUCAAAGGAAUUGACGGGG